rnacentral:tRNA from 1 species
GAGGGUAUAGCUCAGUGGUAGAGCGCAUGCUUAGCCUGCAGGAGGUUCUGGGUUCAACCCCCAGUACCUCCA